AGUCAACAAAUUAGACAAACCCAAUUAUCUCAGAGUGAGGCUGGUGUGCCAUGGUUGCAGACAGCAUAUCCCUGGUUGUGUGAGUACCUUGUUCUUCAUAAAGGGUACUCCUACAACUUCUUAAACUGUG